rnacentral:rRNA from 1 species
UCGAGGGGUAGAGUGCUUUCGGCACUUGAGACCGGCGCACGGGUGCGUAACACGUGUACAAUCUACCUUUUGCUAAGGGAUAGCCCGAAGAAAUUUGGAUUAAUACCUUAUAGUAUUGUUUGGUGGCAUCACUGAAUAAUUAAAGCUCUGGUGGCAAAAGAUGAGUACGCGUCCCAUUAGCUAGUUGGUGUGGUAACGGCAUACCAAGGCUACGAUGGGUAGGGGUCCUGAGAGGGAGGUCCCCCACACUGGUACUGAGACACGGACCAGACUCCUACGGGAGGCAGCAGUGAGGAAUAUUGGACAAUGGUCGGAAGACUGAUCCAGCCAUGCCGCGUGCAGGAUGACGGCCUUAUGGGUUGUAAACUGCUUUUAUACAGGAAGAAUAAGGUCUACGAGUAGAUUGAUGACGGUACUGUAUGAAUAAGCAUCGGCUAACUCCGUGCCAGCAGCCGCGGUAAUACGGAGGAUGCGAGCGUUAUCCGGAAUCAUUGGGUUUAAAGGGUCCGUAGGCGGGCUUAUAAGUCAGAGGUGAAAGCACUGAGCUCAACUGAGUAACUGCCUUUGAAACUGUAGGUCUUGAAUGUUUGUGAAGUAGCUGGAAUGUGUAGUGUAGCGGUGAAAUGCAUAGAUAUUACACAGAACACCGAUUGCGAAGGCAUGUUACUAACAAAUUAUUGACGGUGAUGGACGAAAGCGUGGGGAGCGAACAGGAUUAGAUACCCUGGUAGUCCACGCUGUAAACGAUGGAUACUAGCUGUUUGGGAGUAAUUUUGAGUGUCUAAGCGAAAGUGAUAAGUAUCCCACCUGGGGAGUACGCACGCAAGUGUGAAACUCAAAGGAAUUGACGGGGGCCCGCACAAGCGGUGGAGCAUGUGGUUUAAUUUGAUGAUACGCGAGGAACCCUUACCAAGGUUUAAAUGGGAAACGAUGUACCUAGAGAUAGGUAUUUCUUCGGAUGUUUUUCAGGUGCUGCAUGAUUGUCGUCAGCUCGUGCCGUGAGGUUUCAGG